rnacentral:rRNA from 1 species
UACGAAGGAUCCAAGCGUUAUCCGGAUUUAUUGGGUUUAAAGGGUGCGUAGGCGGGCUAUUAAGUCAGUGGUGAAAGCCUGCAGCUUAACUGCAGAAUUGCCAUUGAUACUGAUGGUCUUGAGUACACUUGAGGUGGGCGGAAUGUGUCAUGUAGCGGUGAAAUGCUUAGAUAUGACACAGAACACCGAUUGCGAAGGCAGCUCACUAAGCAAAUAUUGACGCUGAGGCACGAAAGCGUGGGGAUCAAACAGG